rnacentral:rRNA from 1 species
UGGGGAAUUUUGGACAAUGGGGGCAACCCUGAUCCAGCCAUGCCGCGUGUCUGAAGAAGGCCUUCGGGUUGUAAAGGACUUUUGUCCGGGAGGAAAUGCUGCCUGUGAAUAGCAGGCGGAGCUGACAGUACCGGAAGAAUAAGCACCGGCUAACUACGUGCCAGCAGCCGCGGUAAUACGUAGGGUGCGAGCGUUAAUCGGAAUUACUGGGCGUAAAGGGUGCGCAGGCGGACAUAUAAGUCUGAUGUGAAAUCCCCAGGCUUAACCUGGGAAUGGCAUUGGAAACUGUAUAUCUAGAGUAAGAGAGAGGAAGGUAGAAUUCCACGUGUAGCAGUGAAAUGCGUAGAGAUGUGGAGGAAUACCGAUGGCGAAGGCAGCCUUCUGGCUCAUUACUGACGCUCAAGCACGAAAGCGUGGGGAGCAAACAGG